UGGAAGAUGCUUUGGGAUUUAUU
rnacentral:miRNA from 1 species